CCCGGAAGCCCUCCUGGUCAUGAGCGGAACCGCUAAGCAGAUGAUUCACAUUGAUACAGUGAAAUAUCUAUCUCAUUGUUAUAUUUGUGGUAUAGGCUUUAUUGGCAAUUAAAGCGCACUACUGAGUUUUUAUAUCACUAGUAAAUCCUAUUGCGAGUUUCAAGUGUGAUAAAACGGAUACGACGAGUUCGGCACACGCCUACUGUAUAUUGCCGCAUUCAAAACAACUGGGAACUCCGAAAAAUACGAGGUCAAUUCAUGACUUCAGUGAUUUUCAGGUCGGAAAUUCAGACCUCUAGAAAGAGGCCUGAAUCCCGAAUUGGAAUACCAAGUUGUGUGAUCGUUCAAAUCCAUUUUCCCAGCCAGGAGCAAUUUUUUUCCAGAGUUCCCAGUUUUUUCGAAUACUCGGAUGUCGAACAUUUCCGACUUCCCACUGGAACGCAGCAUAUCAUUUGGAAAACGAAACUAACAGGAAACGGCCAGGGCCCAUUUGAAGAGCGCCUCGUGGAGUCAGUGUUGUCAACUAUUUUUAUGUGAGAAUCGUUAUUGGCUCUUUGAUUUGAAGCUAGAUUACGUUUAGUUUCGACAUCACACCCCCAAUUUGGCUUGCUGCGGCAUGACCGCUGGACGAAAAAGGUAUUCAAAUGUAUGCAAUCACUACUGUAACUCGCUCUGGAUAAAAGCGUCUGAGGAUAAAGUCAUCCUGAAUGGAUCCCCCAAACAGAGGGGGGCAACGGAGAGGUAGAGGAGGAGCCAACCAUGUCGAUCACAGAAGAGGUGCUGAGGCUGGUCAGAAAGAAGAGGAAGGGAUAGCCAACCAAGGGAGAGGGGGAAGAGGUAGGGGGGCCAGGGAAGAGAUGAGAGGGGUUAAUGGGGGG